rnacentral:rRNA from 1 species
AGUUACCGCUCUAUAACCCUUUGUGAACAUACCUAUAACUGUUGCUUCGGCGGGCAGGGUCUCCGUGACCCUCCCGGCCUCCCGCCCCCGGGCGGGUCGGCGCCCGCCGGAGGAUAACCAAACUCUGAUUUAACGACGUUUCUUCUGAGUGGUACAAGCAAAUAAUCAAAACUUUUAACAACGGAUCUCUUGGUUCUGGCAUCGAUGAAGAACGCAGCGAAAUGCGAUAAGUAAUGUGAAUUGCAGAAUUCAGUGAAUCAUCGAAUCUUUGAACGCACAUUGCGCCCGCCAGCAUUCUGGCGGGCAUGCCUGUUCGAGCGUCAUUUCAACCCUCAAGCUCUGCUUGGUGUUGGGGCCCUACAGCUGAUGUAGGCCCUCAAAGGUAGUGGCGGACCCUCCCGGAGCCUCCUUUGCGUAGUAACUUUACGUCUCGCACUGGGAUCCGGAGGGACUCUUGCCGUAAAACCCCCAAUUUUCCAAAGGUUGACCUCGGAUCAGGUAGGAAUACCCGCUGAACUUAA